rnacentral:rRNA from 1 species
AACGAACGCUGGCGGCAGGCCUAACACAUGCAAGUCGAGCGAGGACUUCGGUCCUAGCGGCGGACGGGUGAGUAACGCGUGGGAACGUGCCCUUUGCUUCGGAAUAGCCCUGGGAAACUGGGAGUAAUACCGGAUGAGCCCUCUGGGGGAAAGAUUUAUCGGCGAAGGAUCGGCCCGCGUUGGAUUAGGUAGUUGGUGGGGUAAUGGCCUACCAAGCCGACGAUCCAUAGCUGGUUGGAGAGGAUGAUCAGCCACACUGGGACUGAGACACGGCCCAGACUCCUACGGGAGGCAGCAGUGGGGAAUCUUAGACAAUGGGGGAAACCCUGAUCGAGCCAUGCCGCGUGAGCGAUGAAGGCCUUAGGGUUGUAAAGCUCUGUCAGCUGGGAAGAUAAUGACGGUACCAGCAGAAGAAGCCCCGGCUAACUCCGUG